rnacentral:rRNA from 1 species
AAAUUGAAGAGUUUGAUCAUGGCUCAGAUUGAACGCUGGCGGCAGGCCUAACACAUGCAAGUCGAACGGUAACAGGAAGCAGCUUGCUGCUUCGCUGACGAGUGGCGGACGGGUGAGUAAUGUCUGGGAAACUGCCUGAUGGAGGGGGAUAACUACUGGAAACGGUGGCUAAUACCGCAUAACGUCGCAAGACCAAAGAGGGGGACCUUCGGGCCUCUUGCCAUCAGAUGUGCCCAGAUGGGAUUAGCUUGUUGGUGAGGUAACUGCUCACCAAGGCGACGAUCCCUAGCUGGUCUGAGAGGAUGACCAGCCACACUGGAACUGAGACACGGUCCAGACUCCUACGGGAGGCAGCAGUGGGGAAUAUUGCACAAUGGGCGCAAGCCUGAUGCAGCCAUGCCGCGUGUAUGAAGAAGGCCUUCGGGUUGUAAAGUACUUUCAGCGGGGAGGAAGGUGUUGUGGUUAAUAACC